UUUAACGAGAGUUUGAUCCUGGCUCAGAAUCAACGCUGGCGGCGUGCCUCAGACAUGCAAGUCGAACGCGAAAGUUUCCUUCGGGAAGCGAGUAGAGUGGCGCACGGGUGAGUAACACGUAAGUAAUCUACCCUUGGGUGGGGAAUAACAUCGGGAAACCGAUGCUAAUACCGCAUAAUGCAGCGGCUUCUUAUGAAGACAGUUGUUAAAGCAUUUAUGUGCCUGAGGAGGAGCUUGCGGCAGAUUAGCUAGUUGGUAAGGUAAUGGCUUACCAAGGC
rnacentral:rRNA from 1 species